AAAAGGCUUUAUGAAGAAAGCUCUUUAAGCUUUUCCAGUGAUUUAAGAUGAUACCGGGGAAGGUUUUCCGGUUUAUCCCGGAGGGCUUGUAGCUCAGUUGGUUAGAGCGCGCGCUUGAUAAGCGUGAGGUCGGAGGUUCAAGUCCUCCCAGGCCCACCAAUUUAUGCUCGUUUUUUGCUUAUCCAAGAGUAUGAAGCUUAAGCGUAUUAAAGCCUCUUUUAAUCUUUGUUUAUUUUAAAGAUUUAAUUUUAUCAUUCAAAGAUUGUUUGUUAAAUUUAUUCUAUUAAGUUUGUCAAAGGGGGAGUUUGUCAAAGGAGGUUUUUAAAUCCCUUCAUUUUGAAAUUCCUUCAAGGUAUAGAGAAAUUUAAAUGAUGUAUAGAGAAAUUUAAAUGAUGCAAAUCAAAAUAGUACAAAUCAAAGUCGUAUAAAUGAUUCAAGUUGAUAAAUUUUCUUGAGGUUGAUUUGAGAGAGCAUUCUUU
rnacentral:tRNA from 1 species